rnacentral:rRNA from 1 species
CCUACGGGUGGCAGCAGUCGAGAAUCAUUCACAAUGGGGGAAACCCUGAUGGUGCGACGCCGCGUGGGGGAAUGCAGGUCUUCGGAUUGUAAACCCCUGUCAUGUGGGAGCAAAUUAAAAAGAUAGUACCACAAGAGGAAGAGACGGCUAACUCUGUGCCAGCAGCCGCGGUAAUACAGAGGUCUCAAGCGUUGUUCGGAAUCACUGGGCGUAAAGCGUGCGUAGGCUGUUUCGUAAGUCGUGUGUGAAAGGCGCGGGCUCAACCCGCGGACGGCACAUGAUACUGCGAGACUAGAGUAGUGGAGAGGGAACCGGAAUUCUCGGUGUAGCAGUGAAAUGCGUAGAUAUCGAGCGGAACACUCGUGGCGAAGGCGGGUUCCUGGACAUUAACUGACGCUGAGGCACGAAGGCCAGGGGAGCGAAAGGGAUUAGAUACCCUUGUAGUC